UACGUAGGCAGCGAGCGUUUGUUCGGAGUUACUGGGCGUAAAGGGUGUGUAGGCGGUCUUUUAAGUUUGGUGUGAAAUCUCCCGGCUCAACCGGGAGGGUGCGCCGAAUACUGAGAGACUUGGAGUGCGGGAGAGGAAAGUGGAAUUCCUGGUGUAGCGGUGAAAUGCGUAGAUAUCAGGAGGAACACCGGUGGUGUAGACGGCUUUCUGGACCGUAACUGACGCUGAAACACGAAAGCGUGGGUAGCAAACAGG
rnacentral:rRNA from 1 species